rnacentral:rRNA from 1 species
AUACGUAGGGUGCGAGCGUUGUCCGGAAUUACUGGGCGUAAAGAGCUCGUAGGUGGUUUGUCGCGUCGUCUGUGAAAUUCCGGGGCUUAACUCCGGGCGUGCAGGCGAUACGGGCAUAACUUGAGUACUGUAGGGGAGACUGGAAUUCCUGGUGUAGCGGUGAAAUGCGCAGAUAUCAGGAGGAACACCGGUGGCGAAGGCGGGUCUCUGGGCAGUAACUGACGCUGAGGAGCGAAAGCAGGGGUAGCGAACAGGAUUAGAGACCCUGGUAGUCCAUGCCGUAAACGGUGGGCGCUAGGUGUAGGGGUCUUCCACGACUUCUGUGUCGUAGCUAACGCAUUAAGCGCCCCGCCUGGGGAGUACGGCCGCAAGGCUAAAACUCAAAGGAAUUGACGGGG